rnacentral:lncRNA from 1 species
GUCCUGAAACAAGCUUGUCUUGCAAACAUGAUAUGACAAACACAUCCCAUUCCUGCUGGCGGUUGCAGCAAUCUAGUACUGGAUUCCUACUCACGAUUCUCACAAUCAUUCUGCCAUGAAACCCCCAACAACAAUCACCCCCCUUUUGCUCUCACUCUAGCCUGGAGCUAUGGAGAGUUAGCCGCAACUUGCAGGGCUAGCUAGAGCUAGCAAUGCUCUCAUGGCUUCACCGGUACUUUGCUGCCAA